rnacentral:rRNA from 1 species
UCACCUCCAGCAUCCCCAGUAUUGGAGGCAUUGCCUGCCCAGUGACAACUGUUUAACGGCCGCGGUAUCCUGACCGUGCAAAGGUAGCAUAAUCAUUUGUUCUCUAAAUAAGGACUUGUAUGAAUGGCCGCACGAGGGUUUUACUGUCUCUUACUUCCAAUCAGUGAAAUUGACCUUCCCGUGAAGAGGCGGGAAUGCACAAAUAAGACGAGAAGACCCUAUGGAGCUUUAACUAACCAACCCAAAGAGAAUAGAUUUAACCAUUAAGGAAUAACAACAAUCUCCAUGAGUUGGUAGUUUCGGUUGGGGUGACCUCGGAGAAUAAAAAAUCCUCCGAGCGAUUUUAAAGACUAGACCCACAAGUCAAAUCACUCUAUCGCUCAUUGAUCCAAAAACUUGAUCAACGGAACAAGUUACCCUAGGGAUAACAGCGCAAUCCUAUUCAAGAGUCCAUAUCGACAAUAGGGUUUACGACCUCGAUGUUGGAUCAGGACAUCCUGAUGGUGCAACCGCUAUCAAAGGUUCGUUUGUUCAACGAUUAAAGUCCUACAUGAUC